rnacentral:rRNA from 1 species
AUUGAACGCUGGCGGCAGGUCUAACACAUGCAAGUCGAGUGAGCGGCGGACGGGUGAGUAAUGUAUGGGGACUGCCCGAUAGAGGGGGAUAACUACUGGAAACGGUAGCUAAUACCGCAUACUAUCGGAUAACCCAUAUGGGAUUAGCUAGUAGUUGAGGUAAUGGCUCACCUAGGCGACGAUCCCUAGCUGGUCUGAGAGGAUGAUCAGCCACGCUGGGACUGAGACACGGCCCAGAGUCCUACGGCGGCAGCAGUGGGGAAUAUUGCACAAUGGGCGCAAGCCUGAUGCAGCCAUGCCGCGUGUAUGAAGGAGGCCCUAGGGUUUUAGAGUGCGUUCGGUCGUGAGGCGUUACCGGCAGAGGAAACACCGGCUAACUCCGUACCGGCAGCCGCGGUAAUUC